CCUACGGGUGGCAGCAGUGGGGAAUAUUGGGCAAUGGACGCAAGUCUGACCCAGCAACGCCGCGUGAAGGAAGAAGGCUUUCGGGUUGUAAACUUCUUUUAAGGGGGAAGAGCAGAAGACGGUACCCCUUGAAUAAGCCACGGCUAACUACGUGCCAGCAGCCGCGGUAAUACGUAGGUGGCAAGCGUUGUCCGGAUUUACUGGGUGUAAAGGGCGUGCAGCCGGAGAGACAAGUCAGAUGUGAAAUCCACGGGCUCAACCCGUGAACUGCAUUUGAAACUGUGGAGCUUGAGUGCGGGAGGGGCAGGCGGAAUUCCUAGUGUAGCGGUGAAAUGCGUAGAGAUUAGGAGGAACACCGGCGGCGAAGGCGGCCUGCUGGACCGUAACUGACGUUGAGGCUCGAAAGCGUGGGGAGCAAACAGGAUUAGAUACCCGUGUAGUC
rnacentral:rRNA from 1 species